rnacentral:rRNA from 1 species
UACGUAGGGUGCGAGCGUUGUCCGGAAUUAUUGGGCGUAAAGGGCUCGUAGGCGGUUUGUCGCGUCGGGAGUGAAAUCCACUGGCUUAACUGGUGGCUUGCUUUCGAUACGGGCAGACUGGAGGUAUGCAGGGGAGAACGGAAUUCCUGGUGUAGCGGUGAAAUGCGUUGAUAUCGUUCGGAACACCGAAAGCGAAGGCAGAGCACUGGGUGCCACCUGACACUGCUAGGACGAAAGCGUGGGGAGCGAAUGGG